rnacentral:snRNA from 13 species
GAGAGACCAUUUAUCUUUCAAGUUUCUCUAGAAGGGUCUCGCGUCCGAAGUCGGUGGCGAGUGCCCAA